rnacentral:rRNA from 1 species
AGCGAACGCUGGCGGCAGGCCUAACACAUGCAAGUCGAACGGAUCCUUCGGGAUUAGUGGCGGACGGGUGAGUAACACGUGGGAACGUGCCCUUUGGUUCGGAACAACUCAGGGAAACUUGAGCUAAUACCGGAUGUGCCCUUCGGGGGAAAGAUUUAUCGCCAUUGGAGCGGCCCGCGUCUGAUUAGCUAGUUGGUGAGGUAAAGGCUCACCAAGGCGACGAUCAUUAGCUGGUCUGAGAGGAUGAUCAGCCACAUUGGGACUGAGACACGGCCCAAACUCCUACGGGAGGCAGCAGUGGGGAAUCUUGCGCAAUGGGCGAAAGCCUGACGCAGCCAUGCCGCGUGAAGGAUGAAGGUCUUAGGAUUGUAAAAUUCUUUCACCGGGGACGAUAAUGACGGUACCCGGAGAAGAAGCCCCGGCUAACUUCGUGCCAGCCGCCGCCGUAAAAC